rnacentral:rRNA from 1 species
GAUGAACGCUGGCGGCGUGCCUAAUACAUGCAAGUCGAGCGAACAGAUAAGGAGCUUGCUCCUUUGACGUUAGCGGCGGACGGGUGAGUAACACGUGGGUAACCUACCUAUAAGACUGGGAUAACUUCGGGAAACCGGAGCUAAUACCGGAUAACAUUUAGAACCGCAUGGUUCUAGAGUGAAAGCUGGUUUUGCUAUCACUUAUAGAUGGACCCGCGCCGUAUUAGCUAGUUGGUCAGGUAACGGCUUACCAAGGCAACGAUACGUAGCCGACCUGAGAGGGUGACCGGCCACACUGGAACUGAGACACGGUCCAGACUCCUACGGGAGGCAGCAGUAGGGAAUCUUCCGCAAUGGGCGAAAGCCUGACGGAGCAACGCCGCGUGAGUGAUGAAGGGUUUCGGCUCGUAAAACUCUGUUAUUAGGGAAGAAAAAAUGUGUAAGUAACUGUGCACGUCUUGACGGUACCUAAUCAGAAAGCCACGGCUAACUACGUG